CUCAUUUUAUUGUUUAAACAGUUUUGCAUAGGAAAUAUAUCCACUUCCAGUAAUCGACUGCAGUAUGAGCAGCUGCUAGCAGUAUAGGCUGGAUAUAACCAUAACAAUCACAAAAAGUCAAGCUUUAUUUACACUGAUUUUAAUCUUGUGGCAAUUUUAGCCCCUGCAUAAAAUAGAACUGGGCUCAAAUGCAGAGCCUAAAAAAAUAUCCUGUUAAGACAAAAUAGACAGUGGGGAAAACUUUUUUAUGCAGGUUCUUGAAGAACAUGCACUAACUGUAUAGAGUUAUUUAGACUAGGCAAAGGUUAAGAACAGCCUGGUAACAAUUUGACUAAAAAUGAUAUCCCAGAAUCAACACAAGUAAGUGGACAUACACACAGUAUAACUUUUUUGAGCAUAUUUUUUUGAGUGCUGUUGUUGAUGCCGUUGUUGUAUUUAUUAUGUAUUCGUUUUAUUUCCAUUUAAUUUGCAGUACCUCAGUUGUCUUGUAACGUGAUUGCAGAGGGUGUAAAAGUGCCACAAGACCCUACAUGAAUCAACCCUGCAGUGACGCUAACAAGAUUUUUUUUUUUAACUGACAACUUGUCACCUACGGUUGGACUAAACGUAGCACUGACGAGCUAAAGGAACACAUUGUCCUACACCUUUUAUAUCAAGAGAAUGGGCACUCUACCCCAGAUGACUAAAAAAAAAAUGCACAAAGCAAACUGAAGCUCACCUAAGGACAAAUUUCCAAAUUUAACAAAAAUAACAAAGACUGAGGAAUCACCCCACAUUCUGUCAAAAUUUUCUGACAUUUCCAUGAAGAACUUUAUUUACAAUUGAACUCCACUGAGACUGUAAGCUUGAACAGGCACUGCUAUUAUUAAGUUUUUUCUUCCUUUUUUGGUAAACAUUCCAUAUGCUGGUUUGUUAUGUUCCUGUUUACUCAACCUGAUGUUAUUUCAUGCCAUAACAAGUGCCCUCUAAACCAAAGCACAUACAACAUACUUCUCAAUGUCCAUGUUCUGUUCACUAACUUGUUCUAGAAGUCCCUGUAGCGCUAUUUUCAAACACAUUCGGUAAAAUGUUCUUGAAUUGCACAAGUGCUGGGUUGCGUUGCCAUCGCUGGCUUUCUUUGCAUACAAAUAAAUCAAAGGACAGAUGUUUAGGAGUUGCCUCACCACCAAGAGCUGGGCUCUUCAAAAAAAUUCUCUAACAGGCCAGUUCCACUGAUGCAACCGAUCCAUGUAAUGCUGAGUAGUUUUAAUACAUGUAUGUAAUUUUCUUAGUUUUAAACACAUCAGCCCUUUAAAAGGAAAAUAAAAUCUACACUAAAAAUAUAGAUAAUAUUGCAAAGAAAAGUACUGAUUGAUUAUACUUUCCCACUGUAACAUUGCGAGCUCAGGGUUACGGUUAGGAUUAGGGUAAUAAGCAGCGUAUGCAGAUACCACAUCACGGAGGAACCGUGUCUCAGGAACUCAAUGUAAUGUCAAAGGCGUUCUAUAACACUGUUUCUGCGAUAUACUCCUUGUAAGUGUCAGAAGUCACACCAUUGCUAGUCAACAACCAGGAGCUAGCAGAAAGUGCAAAUGUAAAGGUAGCUGAUCAACAAGCUUUCCUUGUUGGCCAAACUGAAUGUCAUGGAAGUCAGUGAGGUGUAACAUUCAAAUGUAAAUUGUUCCAAUUCCUCCUUCAUCUCAGCUGCUAGGUCUUAUUAUCUUUUUAUUUGCUUCAGUUACACAAUUUCUAUUGAUUUCUCCCAUCAGGUACCACAGAAAAUGUAUGUAAACUUCGUUGGUGAGCCAAACUGCCAGCAACAUUUACACGGUUCCAUAAUCUCACUUCUUUAAAAAAAAAAAGAAAAAAAAAAAA